GCUAAUAUUAGAUAGAUAAAAGAUACUGGAAUGUUCUUUUAUCCAAAGCUUUUGCGCCUGAGGAUGGGCCUGCGUCCGAUUAGGUUGUUGGUGGGGUAAUGGCCCACCAAGCCUGCGAUCGGUACGGGCAGUGAGAGCUGAAGCCCGGAGUUGGGGACUGAGACAAGGCCCCAGGCCCUACGGGGCGCAGCAGGCGCGAAACCUCUGCAAUGCGGGAAACCGUGACAGGGGGAUCCCAAGUGCUCAUGCAUUGCAUGGGCUGUUCUUUGGUCUAAGUAACCAGAGGAGUAAGGGCUGGACAAGACCGGUGCCAGCCGCCGCGGUAAUACCGGCAGCUCAAGUGGUAGCCGCGAUUAUUGGGCCUAAAGCGUUCGUAGCCGGAUAAGUAAGUCUUUGGUUAAAUCCUGCAACUUAACUGUGGGAAAUCUAGAGAUACUGCUUGUCUUGAGACCGGGAGAGGUUGGAGGUACUCCCAGGGUAGGGGUGAAAUCCUGUAAUCCUGGGGGGACCACCUGUGGCGAAGGCGUCCAACUGGAACGGGUCUGACGGUGAGGGACGAAACCUAGGGGAGCGAGCCGGAUUAGAUACCCGGGUAGUCCUAGGCGUAAAUGAUGCGAGUUAAGUGUGGGGGCAUCUACGAGAUGGCCCUGUGCUGUAGGGUAGCCGUUAAACUCGCCGCCUGGGGAGUACGGUCGCAAGGCUGAAACUUAAAGGAAUUGGCGGGG
rnacentral:rRNA from 1 species